rnacentral:rRNA from 2 species
GUCUUUAAGAUUUUAAUUUUAAGUCUAAUCUGCCCAAUGAAUUUUUUUAAAUGGCUGCAGAAUUUUUUUACUGUACAAAGGUAGCAUAAUAAUUUGUUUUUUAAUUAAAAACUAGAAUGAAAGAUUUAAUGAAAUAUAAACUGUUUCAAUUAAUUUUAUUAUUAAAAUUUUUAUUUAAGUUAAAAAACUUAAAUAAUAUUUAAAGACGACAAGACCCUAUAGAAUUUUAUUUAUUUUUAUUUAUUUUUAAAUUAAAAUAAAUUUUAUUGGGGUAAUAAAAAAAUUUAAAUAAUUUUUUUUAAAAUUUACAAUUUUAAUGAAUUUUAUAUCUUAAUUUUUAAAUUAAAAAAAUUAAUUACCUUAGGGAUAACAGCAUAAUUUUUUUUAAAAGAUCUUAUUAAUAAAAAAGAUUAU